rnacentral:lncRNA from 1 species
GGUUGGCAUUUGAGACAAUCCUUGUGGGUGCCGUGGAGAGAUAGCCUGGAGAGGAGGAAGGUAUAGACAUGAGGGAUGGGCAAACAAGAGGGAGAUAGUUCUAGAAGGCCAAGAGAGAAAUUACAGCAGCCAAGGCAUCAUGGGGAGAGGGCAGGAGAAAGCACUCUUCCACAGAACUGCACAGAAAUGGUGGACAGAGGGAUGGUGAUGGACCAGCUCAGUGAGGCUUAGAUAUGGGGGUACAGAGGGGCAAGAAGAGAUCUGACGGGACCUGGCUUCUAGUGAGUCUGCUAGACGGAAAGAUGGCAGGCUUGAGGGCUAUCAGUUUGGAAGAGACCAUUUCGGACGAGUUGAAUUGGUUAAGCUUUAGAUAGCACAGACUGGAAUCCUUGAGCAUACCGAGACAAUGUCCUCUGGGCAAGGCACCUGUACCCCUUGGAGUCUCAGUUCCCAGCCUGCAAUACUGUAACAUACUAGAGUACUAGAUUGAUCUUAAUGGCCCUAUAUGGGACUGUAUGCAAAUCACCUGACAUAUAGCCAUGUGACUGUCUCAGAACCAGGUCUGGGUCACAUGGCUUCCUUCUUUCUGAAGGAAGGAAGCUACAGUCUACAGCCAUCCCUCCUGGUCUCCACAAGUCCAGGGCACCUUCUGAAUGGGAGGAGACGACGUUCCUGGUGAAGCUGAGCUGACCGGGGUGGGAAGUCACAUUGUCCAUCUAUGGCCCCUCAUCUUCCUGGGGGAACAUUCUAGAACCUGUGACCCUCCUCAGUCAGCUUAAGAGUACAGCAAAUCCUGUAGUGCUAGUCAAAGACCUUCGCUUGACAUCAACUGCUAGAAAAUCCCAACUCCUGGAGUGAAUGAAUGCCUUUCUCUGCCGCCUCCUGAUUGGAACAGCCCAGGAACUCUCCACCAAUGAGCAGCCAGGUUUCAGAACCUGGAACUUGAUAGCUUAGCAACCAGCAAUCUGGAAGAACUCAGGAAUCCAUUUGAGGAAAGGGGCAGAGAAACACGAAGGGAAUUAGUGAGCAGGCAAGUAAUGAGACUGCGAGUUUAUUAUUACCUUGGUGGGUGCAUUCAUUACUGCAAAAUCCAGAGCCAGGGAGCUAUCUUGACUUCAACUCCGAGGCUCAUGGGUCCCUGGCAACAGCAAGUGAAUACUGGAGCAGGGAAAUGAACAGAGCUAAGAAAAGCAGAUAGAAAUGCACAACCACUCAAGAAAAACUGGACCCCAGCAUCACAUUUUCUUCCACAUGUUAGACUAUGCCUCUUCAUCUUCCACUUUGUGACAUCAAGGUAUCCCAGCUGUGACAUCAGGCAGAAAAGAGGACAAACAACCCUUGUGGGAAGGUCCAGAGAGAGAAGGGUGUGGCAAGUAGGUGGUGCUGGAAAUAUUCAUCUAGGGGAGACUCCAAAGGGAACAACAUCACAUUCCAACAUGAUGCUGGCAGCCUGGCCUGACCCUCGUGUAGGAAGUAGGCUUCUGAAUGCUAGUCCUUACUAGUUGCCAUGGAGAUGGGACUGGACGCUUGAAGAUGUAGCCUAAGCCUGCUCCCCAGGCUCAUCCUGCAGAUGUAGCAGUGGUGUGGGGGAAUUGUGAUGGCUAUCCUUAGUUGUCAACUUGACUACAUCAGGAAUGAACUAAAACGCAAAAGGUUGGGCACGCCUGUGAGGGAAUUUUUUCUUAAAUAAAUCAUUUGAAGUGGGAGGACUCACUUCUAAUCUGGAUCUUUGGGCACGUUCAUCCCUUCACUGGCAUAGCUCCUCAGGAUUCCAGAGUAUACUGAAGACCAACUGAGGCACCCAGACUUGUGGACUGAACAACCAUUGGGACUUCUUGAUAGGCAGCUACUGUUGGACUAGCCGGACCACAGCCCAUGACUGUAGGGCAGCCAGCAUGACUGUAGGGCAGCCAGCAUGACUGUAGGGCAGCCAGCAUGACUGUAGUAAUGCUGUUGUCAUUAUGACUUACCUUGCUGGCUAGGCUGGGUCCAUUUUGCAGGGGUGCAAGUGGGGCAGUUCUGGAUUGAAGAGCAGGGUUAGAGGUCUUACUGACAAAGGGCUGCUGGUUCGUUGGGCCAGGCUGCCUCUGAUACUGAAGAACUGUGUUUGGUGCCGAGUUUGUGAAGACCUGUGACAGUGAAUUUAAGAAAACCCAUGUUUUAGCGCAGAGGCUCACAACUCCACCUUCUAGCAGGCCAGAGGGAGACCAGUGCCACGGAGCUCCCAAGUGCUCCCUGCAGCUCCAGGAAGAGGCACCAUGUGAACGAAGGGCUACAUCCCUCAGGUUUGGAGUGACCUGGUUGGGGGAGACAGCCUUGAGAAGAGGAGAAGGAAGUCGCCAUGAGGGCAGAUGGAUGAUGAGCACAGGACCAGGAGAAACAGCAGUUUCAGAAUCAUCAGACCACUCUGCCUUUUCGUAUCCAUACAACUUCAUCUGAAAAGAAAACCAAUAAAAAACAGAGCAAGUUUGGGCCUUCACUGUGCUGCACACCUCAGACUUGGGAGCAGCAGCAUGGAGCUGGGGUGAGGUGGAAGUCAGAAGAAGCCGCAGAAGGUCUCACUCCUCACUAGUACUUCACUUCACAUGUGACAGUGUCACCAUCAUGUGUCAGUGCCAUAUGCUAUGGCCUCGACUUCAGGAAUGACAACCCAAACCUGUCCGAUCAAGAUGUAGAACUCUCAGCUCCUCUUCCAGCGCCAUUCGUGCCUGGAUGCCACCAUGCUUCCUGACUUGAUGAUAAUGGACUGAACCUCUGAAACGAAGACUGAGGCUAGAACUCUUGCCUAUAAUCGCUUCCUUGACACUCGAAUCCACAGGAAGGAUGUUCUUCUCCACCAGCUCCAUGGGACCAGGCCUUUGAGCAAUCUUCUCGUUCAGGUCAUCUGCCAGCCGAGCUCUCUUCAGCUUCAUCUGUGUGGCCUGAAGAGAUGGCUCUGCAAACGUUUCUGGAAGAGGAAGCAUAGCGAACUGUCAUCUCAUAUACUUAAAGUGAUGGAGAUGCUACAACAGACACGAAGCCACUGUAGCUCUCCCACGUCCUCUGCUUCAUCCUGUCAGUUCUGGAGCUUGUGGGAGAGAAGGCAGCUCAGCGAGUGGAGAUGGAGGAGGCUGAACCAAAGGCAUGGGCAGCUAGAAGCCAGUGGUGCUGCUCCAAGAUCCCAGCUUCCCUGUCAACACCUGUCUCUCUUCCCAGCAUUCCCAGCAGCACCAUGAGGGCAGAGAGAAGUCAGAUUCUCUAGCUACACACACUGCCUAGGAGUUACCAACGUCUUCAUAACGCGCAGGAUCUACGUAGACGUGAAGGCAUUUUCAACAACAAGUCAAUCUAAGACAUUUGAGCAACUGUCUUUCUCAUGAAGCAACACAGCUGCUGGCAAGAAGACACUGCUCAGGCAGUGCAGGCCCAGGGUAAGAUCUGCCUCCAGAGUCUCUACAACCCACUGCUGGCCACAGUCGAGCUGUGUAGCUCUGCCCUGCACGGAUGAUGUCUCAUUCUGACCCAUCACACUCAGUGUCCUAGGGCAGCUGCCUUGCUGUGACCUUGGUCUUCAGGCUGAACAGAGAGGAGAGAGAACCUUGCAUUGCUUUAGCAGGAGAAGCCCAAGGCGUCACAGGAGCUGCUUUGCAG